rnacentral:rRNA from 1 species
UUUUCACGUGACCACUAGCAGGGCAUGUAGUUAAUUUAAGCUUAUAAGUUAAUACACAAAGAAACUAAACAGGAUGGACUGAGUAGUGGCGAAUGAAAAGUCCAAAGACCGAUCCGAAUUCAAGUUGUGGAUCCUACACUUCGGAAGACUCCAAACUACCUGGAACGGUAGGCCGCCAGAGAGUGAUAGCCUCUUUAGAGUCGGAAG